AAAACGACUCUCGGCAACGGAUAUCUCGGCUCUCGCAUCGAUGAAGAACGUAGCGAAAUGCGAUACUUGGUGUGAAUUGCAGAAUCCCGUGAACCAUCGAGUCUUUGAACGCAAGUUGCGCCCGAAGCCGUUAGGCAGAGGGCACGUCUGCCUGGGCGUCACGC
rnacentral:rRNA from 1 species